CCGCUCCAUAUAAGUAAAGGGAAGUAAAACCGUGUUCCUUCCUUCUUCUGUAUCACCAGAACUUUAUUAUGAGCCAACAGAAAGUAAAACCUGGUUACCAGGAAUCCCCUGAAGUUUCCACUGGAGACUCUGUUCAGGUGUCCCGUGUUAUUACUCGUACAACUACCAGGUGUUCCAGUCAUUUAAGGUUAUUAACUGUUUAACAUCUUCCCCAAAAUAUAAUGCUUUUGUUUGUGUCUCUUCAUUUUCACUUUAUCUAUAAAAACUUCCUCCAAACUAACUGUGUUCUGGAUGUAAACGGUAAUGAACAAAGAUCUAAACAUCUGUUUUCAGUCUCAGUCUUUUUCUAUGACUUUGUAUAUCUUAUAUUUUUGAAAUUAUGACCAAUUUUACUUGAGUUUUAAGGUUUUACGAUCAUGUUUUUGCCCUUUAAAAUACUCAGUUCUAAUUUAAAAUGUAUUAAUCAAUAUAUUUUUAAGUAAAUGUGAGAUGUAUUUGUUUAAGUGAGGAAAAGUUCUAUAUUUACUGUACUUUACCUAUAGUAUACCUAGUAUUUCCAUUUUGCUACUUUAUACAUCUACUCCACAGCAUUUCAAUGGGAAUACUACAACCCCACUACAUUAAUUUAACACCCACAGUUCCUGUGUACUUUACAGAGCCUUUAAAUUAUUAUUAAUUAUAGUAAAACUGUAGUAGAAAAUAGAAAAUUAGCAGUACUUUGAUUAGCGAUUACAGUAAUAUGUUGCUUACAUGCUUCUGUAAUAAUAAUCCAUUAAUGUAAUAUAUUUGAUUAAACACUCCCUAAAGCAUGAUUUUUUAUACUUUUAAGUUCAUUUUAUAGACACUUUUAUCCUCUUAAGUAAAAGAUUAACAGGUAAAUUUACACUACGGUACUAAUACUUACAUUUAACAUAUAAAUACUUCUUCCAGCACUGAACUAGAGAGCUCAUAAACUAAAUGUAAGUUUACAUUGCAGUGAACUCUUGUUAAAUAACACUGAUGCAAAAGGCUCACGUUCUGAGUUUCAGGUGGAAACCACAUCUUCCUUUGUGCCAUUUCCUCCACUGCAGAGCAUCAGCGAGGUGUAGAAGAUGAGAUGACAAACUGAAGUGAGAAAUAAAAAAAACAAAAGCAACAACCCACAUCCUGGAUUCAACUGUGCUUUAACCGAAACACUCAGCAGGUGUGAUCACAUGCUGCUGCUACUAUCUGUGACAGGUCUUUUGGGAGUUCAGUGUUCCUGUCAGGCACAAUAUAAAGCGACGAAGGUCUGAGUACACUGGGAAUGUGCAGGUACAUUACUGGAGAACCUUGACCGGACAGGUUAGACAGUUAUAAUAGAUGCUACAUAAUUAUAUAAUCAUCCUUAACCUGAUAAUGAGGAUGUGUUUUGAGCUCAGGAGGAAGAAUUAAAAAGCUUCUGCUGAACAAUUUAAAAUCUCUUUAUAUGUCCUGAGAGCAGAGUUGGGAGGGCUCCUUUAAUAAUCCAAUACAAUAACUAAUUAUCUGUUAAGGAAUGUAGUGUAAUCCAAUUAUUACAAUAUUAAAAUAACGUCACUUGAUUGCUUUCGGUUACUUUUGGUUUAUAUGCCAAUAAAGACAAGAUAAACAGCAAUUAAAAUGAGUUUUAUCUUUUCUAUAAGACAAAAGAACAAUGUUACCUAUCCUGCUAUUAAUCCCCAUUAUUACUAAAUGUAACAGUAAUCUGAUUACGUCUUUUUAAUGUAUAAGUUACCUUUUUUAUUACGUAACUCGGCUGUUAGUCAUGUAAUCUGUAACUCCCCAAAUCCUGCCUGAGAGAUAUUAAAAACACCACUGAAUGAAUAUUCGUGUGUACAAAUACAAAGUCCCUGAGAUCUGUCUGCGUGAUGAUGAUCACACCUCGCUGUAUCAAUUAAGUGACACAAUGGCAUUUUCUGAUUAAAUUUUUAAUUAAAAUACGAAUUUAUCCACAGAUUAAAAAUGAAAGGCAGAAAAAGCAAAAUGUAGCUACAGUCAGGCACCAAUGAUACAUGUUAUUUCAUAUUUUUAACAAUUGCGAUAACGCAACAAUAACAUUAUUUACUGAUCAUUAUUUAAUAUUUAUUUAUUCAACUGAAGACGGGCGGGGCAAUAAGCAGCCCACCAAAGACAUUCAUGGAUUCUCCAUUAUAGAUAACUGAGUAAAGACCGAAGCUGAUCCUAUACCCCCCCUCCCACCCGCCACACCCCCACUUGAUACUCCUCUCACUACCUCACAAGAACUGAAGAUUCAAAAUUAAAAUAAAAAAAAAAAAAAAGAAAAAUUUGCAAAUGUCCACAGGAAAAAACAACACUAGUUCAGUCAGAAAUCAAGAGUAAGAAGAGAGUGGUAUUUAAUAUCAGACAAGCUAGCUGUUUGGGUGGAAGUUGG